rnacentral:tRNA from 1 species
GGGGCUGUAGCGCAGCUGGGAGCGCGUUUGACUGGCAGUCAAGAGGUCAGGGGUUCGAAUCCCCUCAGCUCCACCA